UACGGAGGAUCCAAGCGUUAUCCGGAAUCAUUGGGUUUAAAGGGUCCGUAGGCGGUUUGGUAAGUCAGUGGUGAAAGCCCAUCGCAUCAACGGGUGGAACGGCCAUUGAUACUGCCAGACUUGAAUUAUUAGGAAGUAACUAGAAUAUGUAGUGUAGCGGUGAAAGUGCUUAGAGAUUACAUGGAAUACCAAUUGCGAAGGCAAGGUUGACUACUAAUGGAUUGACGCUGAUGGACGAAAGCGUGGGUAGCGAACAGG
rnacentral:rRNA from 1 species